rnacentral:rRNA from 1 species
AGUGAACGCUGGCGGUAGGCCUAACACAUGCAAGUCGAACGGCAGCACAGUAAUAGCUUUCUCUUACGGUUGGCGAUUUGCGGACGGGUGAGGAAUACAUCGGAAUCUACUUUUUCGUGGGGGAUAACGUAGGGAAACUUCCGCUCAUACCGCAUACUACCUACGGGUGAAAGCAGGGGAUCUUCGGACCUUGCCCGUUUCUAUGUGCCGAUGUCGGAUUAGCUAGUUGGCGGGGUAAAGGCCCACCAAGGCGCCGCUCCGUAGCUGGUCUGAGAGGAUGAUCAGCCACACUGGAACUGAGACACGGUCCAGACUCCUACGGGAGGCAGCAGUGGGGAAUAUUGGACAAUGGGCGCAAGCCUGAUCCAGCCAUACCGCGUGGGUGAAGAAGGCCUUCGGGUUGUAAAGCCCUUUUGUUGGGAAAGAAAAGCAGCAGGUUAAUACCCCGCUGUUCUGACGGUACCCAAAGAAUAAGCACCGGCUAACUUCGUG